GGGCAUCACAUGCCUUAAAAAAAAAUUAUUGAAAUGAUAAAAAAUUUAGCUGAUAACGUAUUUAAAGAUUAAGCAAUUUUUGUGUAUUAAUUUCUUUCUCCUUUUAAACUCUGUUUGCAUUUAAAAUAGGAUAAUUAUUACUUUACAAGGUUUUCAUUAUCCAUUUGAACGCACGCGUUUUCAUUGGCCUUUUGUUCGCAUGAUAGAAUAAAAAGCGUUAAAAUUUUUUUUUUCUUAUUUAACGUUUGUAAAAGCCUGACUUCUGAUAGUUUAACUUAUUUUUGCUUAAACCUUGCGUCCCUGUGGAUACUUUUGUGCAUAUGUAUGUUUUUGACUCGCCUGCAUUUUGUUCCGACUAUAUUUUGACAAGAAACUUAUCUUCAGUGGAUAUUUUAAUUUUUUAGCAUGAAUAAUCAAAGACCUCCACGAUUGAAACAGCUGUCUGGAGCUGCUGGGAGAAAAAGAGCAAUGAUUCGGAAAAAAAAACGAAAGCAAAAACAAACGAACGCUUUUAGAUUGCGUUCGUUGGACAAAAAUCGAAGAUAAAUGCAAGCAGUUCAAUGAUAUUGAGAUCGGUAUCAAUGACUCUAAUGAGUUGCCAGA